AAACCAACUGGGAUUACCUUAGUAACGGCGAGUGAAGCGGUAAAAGCUCAAAUUUGAAAUCUGGUACUUUCAGUGCCCGAGUUGUAAUUUGUAGAAUUUGUCUUUGAUUAGGUCCUUGUCUAUGUUCCUUGGAACAGGACGUCAUAGAGGGUGAGAAUCCCGUUUGGCGAGGAUACCUUUUCUCUGUAAGACUUUUUCGAAGAGUCGAGUUGUUUGGGAAUGCAGCUCAAAGUGGGUGGUAAAUUCCAUCUAAAGCUAAAUAUUGGCGAGAGACCGAUAGCGAACAAGUACAGUGAUGGAAAGAUGAAAAGAACUUUGAAAAGAGAGUGAAAAAGUACGUGAAAUUGUUGAAAGGGAAGGGCAUUUGAUCAGACAUGGUGUUUUUUGCAUGCACUCGCCUCUCGUGGGCUUGGGCCUCUCAAAAAUUUCACUGGGCCAACAUCAAUUCUGGCAGCAGGAUAAAUCAUUAAGAAUGUAGCUACUUCGGUAGUGUUAUAGCUUUUUGGAAUACUGUUAGCCGGGU
rnacentral:rRNA from 1 species